rnacentral:lncRNA from 1 species
UCACACAAAGCCUCUAACAGAAAUCCAAGAACAUCUAGUCAGGACAUGCCCCCAACCAUAGCCAAAAUCAAAGUCCAAGAAAUAAAUAAAAAUAUGGAAAGAGGUUCAUGGCAUAGAAUGGAGUCUUCUGGAGUAUGGAAUCUCACCACUUCAGUCCAACACAGAGUUGUUCCCAAAUCCAAGAUCACUGAGCAGGAAGAGGAGUAUGACCGGUUCCUGCAUCGCGUCGGGAUACAGCACCCAAAGAUGGGUUAGUGGGUGAACACUAGUAUGUACGCAAGAAUAAAGAUAAAAUAAUGCCAUUAUUCAAAUCCAAAGUAAAUAACUAUAUGCAACCACAUACAUGCAUAUAUAUAUAUAUCAUGCCGAGAAAUAAAAUCGGGUUUAGCAUGCAUUUAAAACCUUUAACUUGGGAUUGUGUGGCUCUGCCAUCCUAAAUCUACCCAUGGGCUAUAUGGGUUCAACUCACCCUGCUGAAAAGGCCCCGGUGCAUGUUAGCCAACGAGCCAGAGAAAAACCUGAGAUGACUAGUACAUCCAAAAUACAAGUGUGACAAAAUACACACGAUCACCAAGACCAACCUCACAACGGCAAAUUUGCGCUUCCAGUUUUCAUUCCCUGGGACCACUACCUUCCACGGCUUUGCUAACAAAUUCCCCUUUAAGCCUAUAUUAAAACCAUUCACACACAACCAACCAAUUACCAAGGAGUCUCUUUUUCGGCAUUAACCAUUGGUAUCGUCAUACCAAAACUAGAGCUUGUAAGUCUAUCCAUUUAUGCCAUUCCAAAGCCAUUAAACUAAUUAGAAUCCAAGGUUUCCGUUUAAAAUAAUACCACAGCCACCAAGUCCUUUCCAAUCCAUUUAAAAUCAUUUAAACCAAUUUAGGUUCCAUUACCAUAGUAUGCAAUGCAAAGUUUUCAAUUAUAGUCAAACUAUGUGACAAAAUCAUUCUCAUAGACAUUUUAACAAACAUGUUGAGGGCUUAAGAUUUUUCCAAAACCAAAACCAUAUAUCAAUUGACCAUUCCCAUGCAACCACAUGUUCAAACCAUAAUUAUAACAUGAAAACCAUAAGAAAAACAUGGGAAAACAUUAUCCAACUAAGAACAACCAAAACCCCAACAUAUACUUCAAAAUCCAAAACAAUCCCACAAUAAUGCCAUGAAAAUCAUUCAUUCAAACAUUCUUUUAGUUGAACUAACAAUGAGGAAAGAGUAUCAUUCCUUAGACAACAAGGAAGAUGGAGAGAAACCACCCUUUAGAUCGUUAAAUAAUUGACUUAAAGAAAACCAUAGUUUUUCUUGAACCAAGAUCUUGAGAGAGAUUUGAGAGUGUUUAAAGAGUGUUUGAUUGGGAAUAAUAGGUUAAGGAAGCCUCCAAAGGUGUUUUAUGUCGUGGGGUUCAAAAGGUGUUAAGAGAGGAAAUAUCCAAAAUACCCCCAACUUUAACUAUAAAAAGGACAUAGGAAGGUACGGCUGGACCACUCAACUCGUAUCCACAUCAUAUGAGUGGUACCCUCUAAUCGUAUCUUGAUCAGAAAGUUAGACACCAAAUUCUAUCCAACAUACGACUCCUCAGAAUAACUCAUACCAUCACCAUACAACAAGUACCCUUUAAGUCAUAUCCUAAGAAGAACAUCAAGGCUAGAUAUUGGACAACAUACGGAUGGACACCAUACCCCUCGUAUCAUGAACAUAUGACUCAUCACUACCAACCCAUAACCAAAAUAGAAACUCAACCACCAAACAUUGGACACCCAACGAGUUGGAUCACCUAACCCGUACCUACACCAUACGAUUAAUAUGGUGAGUCGUAUGAUGAACAAAAAGCUUAAGACUCAAGAAAUUUGAAAGGUCCAGAACCCAGGGUGUUUUUAUUCUCCCCCACUUGGAUCAUUCAUCCUCGAAUGAUGAAACAAGGCAGUAUAAGAACAAUUAAACCCCCAAACGUCUCUACUCUUACCUUUCUGACAGAAAACAGAACACCAAGGAAUUCAACUUUUUACCUUUAACAAAGACAAUAAAAAAAGAGGUAAAGAAUCAACACAUACUGACAUACGAAUUUCUGAAGCGAAAAAUAAAAAUGGAUACUUGGUCUUCAUGUCCUCUUCAGCUUCUCAUGUAGCCUCUUCCACCUUGUGGUUCCUCCAUAGAACCAUUACCAAGGCCACAUCCUUGGUCUGCAAUCGAUGAACCUGAUGAUCCAAGAUCUCAACUAGGAUAUCCUCAUAAGAUAAGGAAUCUAAAAUACCAAUAUCUUAAUAGGCACAACCUGUGACGGAUCGCCAAUGUACCUCCACAACAUAGAGAUAUGGAAUACCAGGUGAAUGGAUCUCAAGCUAGAUGGCAACUCCAACUCAUAUCUGAUAUUUCCAACCCUUCUCAAAAUCACAUAAGGACCCACAUAUCAGGGACUAAGCUUCCCCUUUAUCCCAAACUGCAUCACUCCUUUCAUGGGAGACACCUAUAGGAACACUCUAUCUCAAACCUCAAACUCCAAGUCCCUUUGCCUCAUGUUUCCAUAAGACUUUUGAUGACUUUAGGCAGCCUUAAGCCUAUCUCGAUUCACCUUUACCUUCUUCAUAGAUUGGUGAACCAAAUCUAUCCCAAAUAUAUCCACCUCACCAAGCUCAAACCACCCAAUAAGAAACCUACACCUCCUACCAUACAAUACUUCAAAUGGAGCCAUCCUAAUGAUAGAGUGGCAGCUAUUAUUGUCGGCAAACUCUAAAGAGGCAAAUGUUCAACCAACUACCACCAAAGUUGAUCACGCAAACCCGAAGCAAAUCCUCUAACAUUUGAAUAGUCCUUUUUGCUUGUCCAUCUGACUACUGGUGAAAAAUAAAAAUAAGACUCACCUUGGUCCCCAAACCUUUCUAAAAUGACAAGCAAAAUUGAGAUAAAACUACAUACCAAAAUUAUAUAUGAUAGAAAUUGGUACCCCAUGCAACUUCACAAUCUCUUGAAGAUAAAACCUUGCAUUAUCCUCAGUCGAGAAGUUAGUCCUUACUAGUAAAAAGUGAGCUGACCUUGUCAUCCUAUCCAUGAUGACCCAAACUGAAUCAAAUUGAUUUUGAGACUAAGGGAGAUCAGUAACAAAAUCCAUGUUGAUUACUUUCCACUUCCAUUCAGGCAACUUAAUCUCUGACAUAAUCUUUUGGGCCUCAUGUGCUCAACUUUAACUUGUUGGCACACCAUGUACUUGGCCACAAAAUUAGCCAUAUCCCGCUUCAUAUUGUUCCACCAAUACAUCUCCUUGAGGUCAUAAUACAUUUUUGUCAAACCAGGAUAAACAAUAUAGUGCGGCUCAUGCGCCUCAUCCAAAAUCCUCUCUCGUAAACCAUCUACAUCGGGAACACAUAAUUUUCCUUGGUAUCACAAAGUAACAUCACCACUAAUCUUGAAGGCCAUCACUUUUUACCCACCUACAUCACCCUUAAUCCUCAUCAAGAUAGGAUAUAACAUCUACUUUUCCUUGAUUUCAGCACCAAGACACGAUCGUGCUACUUUCUGCACAAACACACUACCACUCUCGGAGUCCAAAAUAUGAACUCUAAGGUUAGCCAAAUGGUGAAUGUCUUUCACUAACUCCCAUUUCACCUUAUACACAUAAGCUAGAAUCCCCAUGGAUAACCUGCUAAGAGAAUAAGCAACCAUGUUAGCUUUACCUGGGUGGUAGUAAAGACUCAUAUAAUAAUCCUUGAGAAGUUCAAGCUAUCUCCUUUGCUUGAGGUUAAGCUCUUUUCUAGUAAACACAUAAUGCAGGCUCUUAUGAUCAGAAAAGAUAGCCACAUGUACUCCAUACAAAUAGUGACGCCAUCUUUCCAAUGCGAACGCACAACUAACAGCUCCAAGUCAUGAGUCAUAUAGUUCUUCUCAUGCACCUUUAACUGUCUAGAGGCAUAAGCUAUCACCUUUCCAUACUACAUCAAAACACAACCAAGCUCCAUAUGGGAUGCAUCAUAGAAGACCACAAACCCAUCAGUACCUUCAAGCAAACUCAAAAUCAGAGCCAAAGUUAGAUAAUCCUUCAACUUCUCAAAACUACCCUUAGAAAUAUCACACCAUAGGAACUUUACCUUCUUCUAAGUCAAUUUAGUUAAUGGGGUAGCUAUAGUCGAAUAACUCUCCACAAACCUCGUGUAGUAACCCGCUAAACCUAAGAAGCUCCAAAUGUCAUUGGAUUUAUGGGUCUAGGCCACUUCCUCACCACUGUAACUUUCUAUUAAUCCACCAUGAUCCCUUCACUAGAAAUGACAUGACCCAAAAAAGUGAUAGCCUUUAACCAGAACACACAUUUUGAGAAUUUGGCAUAUAGUUGAUGCUUCUUCAGGGUCUACAAUACAAUACAGAGGUGAUCGGAAUAAUCCACCUUACUUUUUUAGUACACCAGAAUGUCAUCUAUGAAGACAAUAAAAACAAAUUCAAAAACCAACGGAAUACCCUAUUCAUUAAAUCCAUGAAUGUCGCAGGGGCAUUGGUCAAAUCGAAAGGCAUAACCAAAAACUCAAAGUGCCCAUACCGGGUAUGGAAGGCAGACUUAGGGAUAUCCACCUCCAUAAUCUUUAACUGAUGAUACCCGAAUUAAAGAUCAAUUUUGAAGAAAAACUUAGCACCCUGCAACUGAUCAAGCAAAUUGUUAUCUUGUUCAACUACCGAUAAUCAAUACACAUCCGAAGGGAACCAUUUUUUUUACAUACAAAUAACACUGAUGUACCCCAUGAGGACACACUAGGAUGGAUGAAACCCUUGUCUAAAGAUCAUUGAGUUGAUCCUUAAGCUCCUUCAACUCAGUUGGAGCCAUUCUACAUUGAGGAAUAGAGAUUGGACGAGUGUCCAGAUCAAGAUCACUCCCAAACUCAAUCUCCCUAUCAGGAGGAACACCAGGAAAGUCAUCAAGAAGACCUUAGUAGAUUUAUUCACCACUGGAAUAGAAUUCAAAUAAGGGUCAUCUGAGUUAGAAUCUUUAACCCGAACUAGAUGAUAGAGACACCUCUUGGAGAUUAAUCUCCAAGAUCUAAGAUAAGAUAUGAACUUCCCCUUAGGAGUUAGGGAACCAUCCUCCCACUCCACAACUAUCUCAUUAGGGAAUUUAAAGACAACCUUACGAGUAUCACGGUCUAGAGAUGCAUAGAAAAAGUAAAACUAAUCCAUCCCUAAUGUGACAUCAAAAUCAACUAUAUCUAGUUCAAAUAGAUCUACCAAAGUCUCCCGACCACGCACAGAUACCACAUAAUCCCUAUAGAUUUUGCUAGCUAUCAUAAAGUUACGCACUGGGGUAGAAAUAAAAAAGGACUCAAAAUACACUCUGGACCAAAAGCAAAAUGUACAGCCACAAAUAAGGUCACAUAAGAGAGAGAGGACCUCAAAUCAAGUAAAUAGUACACAUUAUGAAAAAAGAGUUUCAAUAUACCAGUAAUAACAUUAGGCGAUGCCUCAGACUCCUAUCGGGUAGUGAGAGUCAUGACAUUAGGCGAUGCCUCAGACUCUUGUCAGGUAGUGAGAGAAUAAAGACAGUUCCAAACAUUGUCGAAACUAGAUGGUGCACCCUUUGGUGUCGAAGCUAAUGAUGAAGCAACAGGAACCUUGUCUGCCCCCGAAUCAACCGUAGCCACUAAAAAGUUAUUAAUCAUAUGCCCUGGCUGACCACAACUAAAGCACUUAUCCCUUUUUUCCUUAUAAUAACCCUAAUAUAAUCUACCACAGAACCUACAAAGAGGCUAUGAUGGAGCUGACUGGGCCUACUAUCCUAAGAUUGGGCACCUUGUGCCUUAAAGUUAUCGCCACCUUAGAAAUUCCUACCACCAGACAGCUUUGAGUAGGGAGCAUUAGCCUUUGAGUAAGACCCAGAGUUGCCCCACUUCUUCUUGGGCCACUUCUCUUCAUCUCUUUCACUCUGUUGUUGUCCACCACCUUGCUCAGAGAACUUAAAUAUAUUGCCCUGCCUCUUUCUUAUUUUAUCGUUCUUCUUCUCUUCUUCUAGCUACUGCAUGUAAUAACCAUCCUAGAGAUAUCUAUGUCCUUGAUCAACAAGGUAGCCUUAAUCUCCAAUAUCAAAUCUCUGGAAAACUAGAAAGCAAACUUUCUUAUUCUAUCUUUCAUGUUAGAAACCAUCUCGAGAGCAUACCGAGAUAACUGGUGAAACUUUAAGGGAUACUCCUUGACUGACAUUUUGCCUAGCCUCAGAUUGACAAACUCUUCUACUUUUUCUUCCCUCAACUCCUGAGAAAAGAAGCAAUCCAAGAAAGCAUUAGAGAAAUCUUCCCAUAGGGAUGACUUAGCCUCAUCACCCCUUGACUGAUCCCAUUCCUUGUACCACUAGUACACCACAUUUCAACUGGAAGGCAGGAAACUACUGGCCCUCCACAUUUGUGGCAUGCAUAACUCGAGAAAUCUUUUCCAUUUCAUCCAGAAAACCUUAUGAAUCCUCCUCCACCUUAACACUAGUAAAUGUCAGAGGGUUCAACCUUAUGAACUGGCCAACCCUCGUGGCAUCAUAAGAUGGAGUAACAAAUGCACCACGCUCAGCCUGAGAAGCUACCAACUAAGCCAACAUAUGGAUAGACUGACAAAACUUAACAUUCAUCACAUCAUCCUAAGGAGCUCAAGAAAGACAGGAGGGAACUAGUGUAACUCUAGAAUGACAAUCAGGAACUAGACCCCAUAAGUAGAUCAAGUCCCAUUAGCAUUGUCCACGGGUGGGACAAAGGAGUUUCCAUGAGCAUUAAAUAGUUGAGGUGGCAUAAUCUAAAAAGAAAACAAAUAGGAAUUAGAGUAGAAUUAAAGACCUUAGACUCUACAGCUUGAUAACAAAAUAUGAGAAGGAUAAAUAUUCCUAGAUACCUCGUAGCCUCUCCCUUAUGAGUGUGGCAUGCUACCCAGCCUUAAAAUAGACUCUACUUGACAAGACUUUAUGAACUCCCAAGUGACCAUGAACUUAGGUCUCUAAUACCAAUCUGACAAGACCAAAACCAGGACCUAGUCAUGUCGGGCAUCUAAAGUUUGACCCGGACCAGAGACCAACCCCAAUACCCAACUAUAACUAUCCUAUACCCAAUGUCAAAUAAAUUUUAAACAUAUAACUAGAUAGAAUAAUUAUAAUUGAUAGGCAUUUAAUAAAGUCCAUAACCAUAACCAUCCAAACAUCUAACUAAGAAUCCAGUCAGUAUCAGUCUUCAUACCAAUAUCGAUGCCAAGGCAUAUACCAAUACUGACACCGCCAAUUCCCAUAGUAGUCAUACAAAGCCUCUAAUAGAAAUCAAAGAACAUCCUAUCGGGACAUACCCCCAACCAUAGCCAAAAACAAAGUCCAAUAAAUAAACAAGAAUAUGAAAAGAAGUACAUGGCAUGAAAUAGAGUCUUCUGGAGUAUGGAAGCUUACUACUUCAGUCCAACACAAAGUUGUUCCCGAAUCCAAGAUCAUUGAGUAGGAGGAGUAGUAUGGCCGAUUCCUACAUCGCGUGGGGAUACAUUUCCCGAAGAUGGGUUAGCGGAUGAAUGCUAGUAUGUACUCAGGAAUAAGGAUAAAACAAUGCCAUUAUUCAAAAUCUAAGUAAAUAACCCCAUGCAACAAUAUACAUACAUAUAUAUACCAUACCAGGAAAGGGAAUAACUAUAUGCAACCACAUACAUACAUAUAUAUACCAUGUCGGGAAAGAGAACUGGGUUUAGCAUGAAUUUAAGACCUUUAACUUGGGAUUAUUUAGCUCUGUCAUCCUAAAUCCACCCAUGGGCUAUAUGGGUCCAUCCCCUUACUAAAAAAGCACCGGCGCGUAUUAGCCGCAUGAGUUGGAGAAAAAUUUAAGAUGAAUAGUACAUCUCCUAAAUAUAAGUGUGACAUGAUACACACAGUCACCAAGACCAACCUCACAUCAGCAAACAUGAGUUUCCAGUUUUGGUCCCCCUGGGACCACCACAUUUCAUGACUUUGCUAACACAUCCCUCUUUAAGCCCAUAUUAAAACUAUUUACACACAUCCAACCAAUUACCAAGGAGUCCUUUUUAUUAGGCAUUAACCAUUGGUAUCAUCAUAACAAACCCAGAGCUUACAGGUCUAUCCAUUUAUGUCAUACAAAAGACAUUAAACCAAUUUGACUCCAAAGUUUUUGUUCAAACCAAUACCAUGGACCAAGGACUUUCCAAUAAAUUUAAAAUCAUUUAAACCAAUUUAGGUUCCAUUACUAGAUUAUGAAAUGCAAAGUUUUCAAUUAUAGUCAAAUUAUGUAACAAAAUCAUUCUCAUAGGCAUUUUAACAAACAUGUUGAGGGCAUAAGAUUUUUCCAAUACCAAAACCAUAUAUCAAUUGACCAUUCCCAUGCAACCACAUGUUCAAACCACAAUUAUAACAUAAAAACAUAAGAAAACAUGGGAAAACAUUAUCCAACAAAGAACAACCAAAACCCCCCAAUAUAUACUUCAAAACCCAAAACAAUACCACAAUAAUGCUAUGAAAAUCAUUCAUUCAAAUAUUUUUUUGGUUGAGCUAAAAAUGAGAGAGGAGUAACAUGCCUUAAACAACAAGGAAAAUGAAUUUAAAACACCCUUUAGAGCCUUAAUUGAUUAACUUGGAGAAAACCCUAGUCUUUCUUGAACCAAGAUAUUGAGAGAGAUUUUAGAGUGUUUAGAGAGUGUUUGAUUGUGAAUAAUAGGUUAAGGAAACACACAUCCAACCAAUUACCAAGGAGUCCUUUUUAUUAGGCAUUAACCAUUGGUAUCAUCAUAACAAACCCAGAGCUUACAGGUCUAUCCAUUUAUGUCAUACAAAAGACAUUAAACCAAUUUGACUCCAAAGUUUUUGUUCAAACCAAUACCAUGGACCAAGGACUUUCCAAUAAAUUUAAAAUCAUUUAAACCAAUUUAGGUUCCAUUACUAGAUUAUGAAAUGCAAAGUUUUCAAUUAUAGUCAAAUUAUGUAACAAAAUCAUUCUCAUAGGCAUUUUAACAAACAUGUUGAGGGCAUAAGAUUUUUCCAAUACCAAAACCAUAUAUCAAUUGACCAUUCCCAUGCAACCACAUGUUCAAACCACAAUUAUAACAUAAAAACAUAAGAAAACAUGGGAAAACAUUAUCCAACAAAGAACAACCAAAACCCCCCAAUAUAUACUUCAAAACCCAAAACAAUACCACAAUAAUGCUAUGAAAAUCAUUCAUUCAAAUAUUUUUUUGGUUGAGCUAAAAAUGAGAGAGGAGUAACAUGCCUUAAACAACAAGGAAAAUGAAUUUAAAACACCCUUUAGAGCCUUAAUUGAUUAACUUGGAGAAAACCCUAGUCUUUCUUGAACCAAGAUAUUGAGAGAGAUUUUAGAGUGUUUAGAGAGUGUUUGAUUGUGAAUAAUAGGUUAAGGAAGCCUCCAAAUGUGUUUUAUGUCAUAGGGUUCAAACAGAGUUAUGAGAGAAAAUAUCCAAAAUACCCCCAACUUAAAAUGCAAAAAGGACGCAGGAGGGUACGGUUGAUCCCUCAACUCGUAUCCAUAUCAUACUAGUGGUAUUCUAUAUUCGUAUCUCGAUUAGAAAGUUGGACACCACAUUCUGUCAAACAUACGACUCCUUAGCCUAAAUCAUACAAUCACCAUAUGACAAUUACCCUUUAAGUUAUACCCUAAGUAGAACAUCAAGGCUAGACACUUGACAACAUAUGGAUGGACACCAUACCCCUCGUAUCAUGAACGUAUGACUUAUCACCACCAAUCUAUAACCAUGAUAGAAACUUAACCACUAAAUACUAGACACCCUAUGAGUUAGGUCACCUAACCCGUACCCAUACCAUACGACUAGUAUGGUGAGUUAUAUAAUGAUCAGAAAGCUCAAGACUCAAGAAAUUUGCAAGGGCCAGAACCUAGGGUGUUUCAAAUCAGCUGCAACCUUUCUUCUUUAUUUUAUAGGGACAUGGUCCUUAUUAUUUCCUUUGUCACCUCCAGUCUUGAGAUAUUCCUAAUAAUCCAUUUUGUGCAUUAGUCAAGUCUUUAAUAAAGUGCUCAAGAUUUUUAUGUUUGUGACAAACCUUAAUAGUGCCUCUCUUUUUGUUGUUGCUUCCUCUUUUUUGAAACUGGCCACUUUUAUUCAUAGCUCUAACAAUCCUUUUUGCCAAAUAGGCAACAUUUGUGUCUUCUUCACUUGAAUCAAACUUUGAAGCCUUCAAUGCCAGAGAUUUUCUCUUUUUGCUUCUUUCUUUUGUUGCCCUUGCUACUUCUUGAGUUCAUGAGUCUUCAAAUUACCAAUAAGUUUAUCCAUUGUGAGAGUUUUAACGUUUCUUGCCUCAGUAAUGGCAUCCACUUUGCUAUCCCAAGAUUUUGGAAGAACACCUAUAAUUUUUUUCACCUGUUUAUACAAAGGAAUAACUUCUCCAAAGCAGUGCAAUUCAUUGGUGGUUAAAGUGAAUCUAGUAUGCAUCUCUUAGAUAGUUUCUCCUUCUUUCAUGGUAAAGGUUCCAUACUGAGUAGUUAGCAUAUCAGAUUUUGAAUCCUUCACAUCAAUGGUUACUUCAUGAGUAGUCCUAAAGCAAUUCCAAAUUUCCUUAGCAUUUUCACAAGUAGAUAUCCUAUUAUCUUCAUCAAGUCCUAUGCCAUGGAUAGGGAAUUUCUUUGCCUUGUAAUUCUUCUCAACCUUCUUUUAAUAUUCAUCAUCAAACUCUCUCUUAGGUUUAACAACCAUCCUUGUUAUGUCUCAUUCUUUGACCUCUCUAAUAGGCAUAUGUGGACCAUCAAGUAUUACGUCCAUCAGCUCAUUGUCCUUAGCUAUAAUAAAGUCAUAUAUCCUAGUUUUCCACCACCCAUAGAAAUGUCUAUUAAAAUAGGGUGGUUUAGUGGUAGAUUGCCCUUCUUCUAGAUUAGGUGGAGCAUCCAUGAUCAAUAAAUCACUUUAGGGAUGAACCUUUAAGAGUUUCCUUGCUCUAAUAAAAAUUAUUGAAACGUGGGAGGUUGCACCAUACUAUGAGGGACCAGGUCCCUUAGAGUUAGACACAGUCAAUAAAAUAGUAAAGUAGUAGAAAACUAAAACUUUACUAGAAAUUAAAUAACACAAAUAUUUAACAUAGAAACCUCCUUACUCAAGGGAGGAAAAACUACGCCUUAACCUCACAAGGACUCAACAAUUCACCAUAAUUAAACUAUUGAUUAUAGACUCAAUGGAAACAUAAAUCUAAGCUCUACCAGUUUGUAACAACUCAAUUACAAACCUAUCUUGACAACUCUGCAAGAACUCACCUCAAUAUUGAUUAACUCUAACCAAUAUCAACUCAGGUUACUCUACCUAAGCACUCUCAAGGAUAUAAGAAAAGGACAUUACUCUUAUAACAUGAGUAAUUUAAUUAUAGACGCAAACAUUACUCAAGAACACUCACUGUUUUAGCACACACAAGAACUAUAAACUUAAGCAAUGUUGUAAAGUUGAGUUUUAUCUGAUUUCUCACUUGAACAAUAAGAUUGAAAAAACUAGUGAAUUGGGGAGCAUUCUUUUAUAUUUAUAGCUGGAUAAUGAUUAAGGUAAAAAUAUGAUUGGGAUAGGUGUCUUGAUAGGUACAAGCUCACCUGUAUAGUUUGUUACACUAACAGAUAAAACUGCAUAGGCCAGUAAUAGAUGUAUUGAGUUCAUGAAGACCUAGGGACCUGGUCCCUUGUUGUCAUCUGAUCAUCAUCAAAAUAAGAUAUACCAGGAUUAUUUCUUAUAUAUGUGCUAGGAAACUUUUCUCAAGGAGUUACUAGUCUUACCUCGCUUAUAUUCAUGAUGUUACUGUGGGCUAUUUUUUACCCACACUAGCAGAUCUAGAGUAGAUUGGGCAUACCUCUAAAGCUGAUAGGGCACAUGUCCCCUUUCGGGGGCUUUCUAUCCCCAUUUUGCCUUUCCUUAGCCUCUUUUAAA